AUGCUAUUUUACACUUGUGUUCCCUUCGGGUCAAAUUGACCCAUUUCAAUUUUUGUUUCAUAUCAGAAAAUAUGGGACACAGAAAUAAGCGCUGAAAAUGUGUAGAAGAAAAAUUUAACAAUUUAAAACGUUGGAAAAAGCAAAAACAAAGGUUG